UCGAGUAUAUAUUAAUAUAACUUUAUUGUACAUUUAGUGCUGCAAUUAUAGCUCUAUAACUGCCUAUAUACACCAAAAAUAUCUAAUAGCCCAGGAGACUAUUAACAAGCUCAGUCCUACAUGAAACAAAUUCCUCAAUGUAUCCUUAGCACAAUAAGGCUCACUUAAUAAUAAUAAUAACAGAAUGUGGAACUAAGCCUUAAGUGCCAGACUUAAUGGGGAACUUUGAUACACAAUAGACUGUACAGAGACAACAUUGAUCAUGUUAUUGUUGAUGUUACUUCACUGCAACACAAUGCAUUAGAGAUUGAUAAUCGAAUUAGCUAAAUUAAAUUUAAAACAGACAAUGAACAGAUGUUUACUUCGUAUUUACCUCAAAAGGAAAGAAGAUUAGGGGGUGGGGUAGAGGAUAUGUUUUUAACAUUGUAUCUUACCAAGCAGGAGGGCAAACAUUUCAAGAAAUGAACAUGAAUCGGAAACUAUCAAUGUUGAAUAACUUAACUAGAAAGUCCAAAAGCAAAGUACAUUCUGUAAAUAAUGAAUCAAUAUGUUAAAAAAAACAACACCUUACUUCAGCAGGGUAGCUUGUCAGUGGUGCAUUUGUAAGCCAGUAAUACUGUAACCAAUAAGUUACAAAUAUAUUACAGUAAGUAAGCCAGUGGUUCAAAGUGUCUUUAGUGAUUUUAUGUGUUUUUUUUGGUGAGUUUGUUUCUUAAGGGUAUGUGAAGGGAAGGUCUUUGUGUUAAAGCAUGGUCUUCACCUAACAUCUCAUUGGAUACCUAAAUAGCUCCAGAGUGGAGAAGACAUCAAGGAGGUCUGCACCUAACAUAUCAUUGGAUACCUAACUAGCUCCAGAGUGGAGCAGACAUCAAGGAGGUCGCACUGAACAUCUCAUUGGAUACCUAACUAGCUCCAGAGUGGAGCAGACAUCAAGGAGGUCUGCACCUAACAUCUCAUUGGAUACCUAACUAGCUCCA